rnacentral:misc_RNA from 1 species
AAAAAAAUAAUAAUAAUAAAACAAUUACCAUCUUAAGCCACUCCUAAUUUAUGCUACAUAUCAUUAAUUUAAAAUUUUCCUUAUCAAGAGACUAAAUGUGCCGUGAUACAAAAUAGUAAAUAUUUUUAUCAAAUUAUUUAUUUUGUCUAGACUCAAUUUAUUAUAGUUUAAAGACAUAAAUUUAUAAAAUUUAUAUAUUUAACAGAUAAAAUAUAUUACACAUUUUAUAUUUUAAAUUUAUAAUCGAUCAUGUUCAAACAAGAAAUCCAAUCUAAAUCUGAUUAAGUUACGCAAUUAAUUUGGUCAGCGACUACCGUAUCUCCAAUGACCAAGUAAUGAAAAGUUGCGUGAAAGGAAGAAAGGUAAGAAAGGUACUUUUUCCAGCUCCAACCUAAACUACAAUAAAAUAAAGUGUGCUUUAAGUAAUUAAUAAUCAUCCCCAGAAGCGUAUGAAGGUUACCCAACUAGUUUUAAUAAUAACAAUAAUAGUGUGUCUAUUUAUGAGUUAGUUCACCGACAAGUUAACAUAAAUUUUAUUUGAUAUUGAAUUUUAGAAUUUAAAAUUAUUUUUUUAAAUGAAAAUAUUAUUUUAUAUAUUAGCAAAAAAAAUAAUUUAAAAAAAAUAUUUUAUUAUUUUCAUAUUUUU